AACAGGAUUAGAUACCCUGGUAGUCCACGCCGUAAACGAUGUCGACUUGGAGGUUGUGCCCUUGAGGCGUGGCUUCCGGAGCUAACGCGUUAAGUCGACCGCCUGGGGAGUACGGCCGCAAGGUUAAAGCUCAAAUGAAUUGACGGGGGCCCGCACAAGCGGUGGAGCAUGUGGUUUAAUUCGAUGCAACGCGAAGAACCUUACCUACUCUUGACAUCCAGAGAACUUUCCAGAGAUGGAUUGGUGCCUUCGGGAACUCUGAGACAGGUGCUGCAUGGCUGUCGUCAGCUCGUGUUGUGAAAUGUUGGGUUAAGUCCCGCAACGAGCGCAACCCUUAUCCUUUGUUGCCAGCGGUUAGGCCGGGAACUCAAAGGAGACUGCCAGUGAUAAACUGGAGGAAGGUGGGGAUGACGUCAAGUCAUCAUGGCCCUUACGAGUAGGGCUACACACGUGCUACAAUGGCGCAUACAAAGAGAAGCGACCUCGCGAGAGCAAGCGGACCUCAUAAAGUGCGUCGUAGUCCGGAUUGGAGUCUGCAACUCGACUCCAUGAAGUCGGAAUCGCUAGUAAUCGUGGAUCAGAAUGCCACGGUGAAUACGUUCCCGGGCCUUGUACACACCGCCCGUCACACCAUGGGAGUGGGUUGCAAAAGAAGUAGGUAGCUUAACCUUCGGGAGGGCGCUUACCACUUUGUGAUUCAUGACUGGGGUGAAGUCGUAACAAGGUAACC
rnacentral:rRNA from 1 species